rfam:Triticum aestivum genome assembly, contig: Triticum_aestivum_CS42_TGACv1_scaffold_621646_7DS
UUAGCAAAUGACGAUAAGGAAGACAGGGACUCUGCAGCGCUCCUGAUUUCAAAUCAGGGCCGCGAAUGAUGCAUCAGUCUAGGGGAAUCUCUGAUGCUAA